rnacentral:lncRNA from 1 species
AACAGUGCCCGGGAAGAGCUGAUGGAGAGCCGGAUGAGGAUCGAGAGCCUCUCCUCACAGCUCUCUAACCUGCAGAAAGAGGUAAGCAGCGUCUUCCUUUGAGCAGGACUGAGGUGUAGCUGGAAGGCUGGCCACCUGCGCCAUCGCUGCCUCCCUGGUGCUACUUCUCUUUUGUCCCAGAUGAGACAUAUUUUCUCCUGGAUUUUCUUUUAUAUAGUGCUUUCUGGAUUCUUUUAUAUAGUGCUUUCUGGAUUCUUUUAUAUAGUGCUUUCUGGAUUCUUUUAUAUAGUGCUUUCUGGAUUCUUUUAUAUAGUGCUUUCUGGAUUCUUUUAUAUAGUGCUUUCUGGAUUUUUUUUUAUAUAGUGCUUUCUGGAUUCUUUUAUAUAGUGCUUUCUGGAUUCUUUUAUAUAGUGCUUUCUGGAUUUUUUUUUUUUAUAUAGUGCUUUCUGGAUUUUCUUUUAUAUAGUGCUUUCUGGAUUUUUUUUUUUUUUUUUUUUUUGUGGUUGUUGUUGUUGUCCAUUGCUUAAAUAUUGUGAGGCUUUGUGGAGGUGCACACCAGUAAUCCCAGCAUCAGAGAGGCAGAGAUAAGAUUGCUGCAAGUUCAAGGUUGGCCAGGGCUACAUAGUAAGAUGCUGCCUCCGACUCUCCCCUCCUCCCCAAAACACCCUUUGUACGUCAGCAAACCAACCAUGCUUUUCCUGUUUCAUAACAGUAAGUGACAGAAGUGAGGGCUGAGGGAGAUCCCGUCAGCUCUGACGUAGUGCUCACUCUGUCACAGGAUGCAGAGCUGGGCUGUCUGUCUGUCUGCCUGCCUGUCUGUUUGCCUGCCUGCCUGCCUGUCUGCCUGUCUCAUCUCUGCAGUACAGCUCCCACUCAUUUGGUCACACUUGGAAACCAAAAACAUACUCAAAUUGUAACUGGUGACUGGUGAGGUGCCUUCUUUCUAAGUCCCUGUGGUUGAAAUACUUAACGGGUUAUGAAUGUCUAUAUUCAUUAAUAGUCAUGGCCCCAUUGUCUUCCUGGUAUACCCCAGCGACAAGUGACUGCGUCACUCCUUGUGCUGACCAGCUGGCUGCAGUGUUGCCAUGCUCCAGAAGAAGUGAAGUAGGCCUGGAUGUGGCUUCAAGUCAGUUUUAUUCUGGAUAAAGUGACGCAUGCGUGGAACAAAGCCUGCAUUUAGCAUUGCCCCUGUCUGUACUGUACUGUACUGUACUGUACUGUGGGAAGUAGCUUCAGCCUUUAUUUUCCUGAGGGAAGAAAAUCCUGUUCAAAUUUUAUUAUGCCAUUUUAUUAGGCAGGUUUUUCUUUCUGUUUUUUUUUUUUGUUGUUGUUGUUGUUAUUGUUGUUAUUUUUAGCAAAAUCUUUAGGUAUAAAAUCACUAGUUACUGAGUUUAGAAAUUAAAGCAGAAAACAAGUCACAUAGAACAAUGAUAAAUCAGUUAAUAGAGAGUUUACAUUGUUGCCUUGGGUGCUUAUUAACUUGUGUCAUAAAACUUUAAAUUAUUUUAGAAUUAGUUUGUUCUGCUAGUAUUUUGAAGUUUCAUGUAACAAUGGACUACCCACUCUAUUAAACCACAGACCAGGGUGAGUUUAAUUACUUUCCCAGAGGCUUCAGGGUAGCAAAUUCCUUCCCAGAAUUCCCUUUAUGUCUAACUCUCAUUGAAAAUCAUCUUGGAGAAAUUUGUUCUCUGUUGCACCACCUGACUUAGUCUUCUUGGGCUGCUAUAGCAAAAUGUUACAAAUGACUUCCCCCAAGCUUGAGAUGAUCUGUCUCCUUCCUUCCGAGCCCUCCUCCCCCACCUCAGGCCCCCAUGAUUGCUCAGUAAGUACUUCACUGACUGAGUAGCUCCGCAGCCCAGUUCAGGAGCUUGGAAUGGCUAAGUCCAGGAGAGAGAGAAUGGUGAGUUCCCAUCUCACACCUCUAGAUGGCGCUCUCCGUGUCGUGUGGUAGGAGGGCAAAUACAGUGCACUCCCCAGGGCCUGUUUUAUGAAAGUGCCAAUUGUAGUUCGGAGGCCUCAGCUCUCCCUUGCACUCUUUUAGCACUGCCAAGUUACAGGAGUGAGAUUUUCAACAUGCGAAACUGGGGGACAUUAACUGGUACGUUCCUACAAAUGGGCCUCCCUGCUCCUGCGAUAAAUUGAUGUCGACCACUCUCCCCGUAAGACAGUGCUCACUUCUCCGUCUUGUUUGUGUGCCUGUUGCUUCUCUUGAGGCUGAUCUUUGUUUUACAGCUGAGGAGGCCGAGACUUACAUAGCAGUGGGUUCGGGGACUCUUGAGUUCAGUCUUUAGUUUUGUGCUAUUAUUCUCCGUUUUCUACAAGCGCUUCCAGGUUAGUGGGUUUUAAACUGUUGCCUUGGGCUUUCUAGGAGCCUCCUGCCUUAGUGAACAGACAGGCGCCUGCUUCAGCUGGAGUGGGCUUUAGUUUCUCAUUGCUGACAGGCUUUACCUGAAGAAGAGAUGAGCACACUCCCAUACUUGCUGGGGAACCUGGGCAGGCUUACGGCUUUCCCAACCCUCCUGCCUCACACACAAUCCUGCAAUUUCAGGUGUGUGCCCCUGUGUCCAGUCU